AACGAACGCUGGCGGCAGGCUUAACACAUGCAAGUCGAGCGCCCCGCCAGGGGAGCGGCAGACGGGUGAGUAACGCGUGGGAACGUACUUAUUGGUUCGGAACCACUCUGGGAAACUGGAGCUAAUACCGGAUAAGCCCUCACGUGGAAAGAUUUAUCGGCGAAAGCUCGGCCCGCGUCUGAUUAGCUAGUUGGUGAGGUAACGGCUAACCAAGGCGACGAUCAGUAGCUGGUCUGAGAGGAUGAUCAGCCACACUGGGACUGAGACACGGCACAGACUCCUACGGGAGGCAGCAGUGGGGAAUGGUGGACAAUGGGCGCAAGCCUGAUCCAGCCAUGCCGCGUGAGUGAUGAAGGCCGUAGGGUUGUAAAGCUCUUUUGACCGGGAAGAUAAUGACUGUACCGGAAGAAUAAGCCCCGGCUAACUUCGUG
rnacentral:rRNA from 1 species